rnacentral:rRNA from 1 species
GACGUAGGGGGCCAGCGUUGUUCGGAAUUACUGGGUGUAAAGGGUUCGUAGGCGGUGCGGCAAGUUGGGAGUGAAAUCUCUGGGCUUAACCCAGAGGCUGCUUCCAAAACUGCUGUGCUUGAGUGUGGGAGAGGCGCGUGGAAUUGCAGGUGUAGCGGUGAAAUGCGUAGAUAUCUGCAGGAACACCAGUGGCGAAAGCGGCGCGCUGGACCACUACUGACGCUGAGGAACGAAAGCUAGGGGAGCAAACAGG